GCGGAAGUGGUGAAAUUGGUAGACACGCUGGAUUUAGGUUCCAGUGCCGCAAGGCGUGAGAGUUCGAGUCUCUCUUUCCGCA
rnacentral:tRNA from 2 species